UGGGGAGUACGGCCCGCAAGGUUAAAACUCAAAUGAAUUGACGGGGGCCCGCACAAGCGGUGGAGCAUGUGGUUUAAUUCGAUGCAACGCGAAGAACCUUACCUACUCUUGACAUCCACGGAAUUUGGCAGAGAUGCCUUAGUGCCUUCGGGAACCGUGAGACAGGUGCUGCAUGGCUGUCGUCAGCUCGUGUUGUGAAAUGUUGGGUUAAGUCCCGCAACGAGCGCAACCCUUAUCCUUUGUUGCCAGCGAUUCGGUCGGGAACUCAAAGGAGACUGCCGGUGAUAAACCGGAGGAAGGUGGGGAUGACGUCAAGUCAUCAUGGCCCUUACGAGUAGGGCUACACACGUGCUACAAUGGCGCAUACAAAGAGAAGCGACCUCGCGAGAGCAAGCGGACCUCACAAAGUGCGUUGUAGUCCGGAUCGGAGUUUGCAACUCGACUCCGUGAAGUCGGAAUCGCUAGUAAUCGUGGAUCAGAAUGCCCCGGUGAAUACGUUCCCGGGCCUUGUACACACCGCCCGUCACCCCACUGGGAGUGGGUUGCAAAAGAAGUAGUGUAGCUUAACCUUUGGGA
rnacentral:rRNA from 1 species